UACGGGGGGGGCAAGCGUUGUUCGGAAUUACUGGGCGUAAAGGGCUUGUAGGUGGCCAACUAAGUCAGACGUGAAAUCCCUCAGCUUAACUGGGGAACUGCGUCUGAUACUGGAUGGCUUGAGUUUGGGAGAGGGAUGCGGAAUUCCAGGUGUAGCGGUGAAAUGCGUAGAUAUCUGGAGGAACACCGGUGGCGAAGGCGGCAUCCUGGACCAACACUGACACUGAGGAGCGAAAGCCAGGGGAGCAAACGGG
rnacentral:rRNA from 1 species